rnacentral:rRNA from 1 species
ACGGGGGUUGCAAGCGUUGUUCGGAAUCAUUGGGCGUAAAGGGCAGGUAGGCGGCUAGAUAAGUCAGUUGUGAAAUGCCAGGGCUUAACCGAGGAAGUGCAUUUGAUACUGUUUGUCUUGAGUAGGGUUGAGGAAGGUGGAAUUCCUGGUGUAGAGGUGGAAUUCGUAGAUAUCAGGAGGAACACCGGUGGCGAAGGCGACUUUCUGACCCUUUACUGACGCUGAGCCGCGAAAGCGUGGGUAGCAAACAG